GGAAGGAUUAAAAUAGGGCUGCUCUGCUUGUCCUCGGCUGUUGGAAGUGCUGCUUGCACGGUGAGUCACGCUCUUGGGGCUCUGCUGUGGGAAGCACUGAGCAUGACCACCACCACCCCAUCACCCGGAGACGCUGGACGGGAUGCAAGUGGGAGACACCCAAAACCCUACGAAGAGCUGUGUCCAUGGGAUGGCGGUGGUGGAUGACAGAUGGACUCACCAGCAGACUUCAACUUGCAUCUGCAGCUGAGUGAGUCCAUUCUCCAAGACACGCCACCUUGAGGACUGCUUUUCUUCAUCGUUCUGGAGUCAACCCCAACCUGUUGCAAUUAGUUAAGCGCAGCUCUGUUUCCAAGUGAUCCCUUAAAACCUGGUUGCCUCUGUCAUCCUCAUGCGUAACUACUGCAUUAUUCUUCCACCUGCCCUCACAGUGUUUGCUUUUCAUAAUCAAAGAGAAGCCUUGAAAAGUGUCUCUAUGUAACACUAAAUCUGUAAAAAGAAUGUACCUUAAUAUAACUCAUGGAUAUUUAUAAAAUAAAAAGAGCACGGGGGCAA